rnacentral:pre_miRNA from 1 species
UAACUACUCCCUUCGUUCGGAAUUACUUGUCUCGGAAAUAGAUGUAUCUAGAACAAAAAUACGUCUAGAUACAUUCAUUUUCGAGACAAGUAAUUCCGAACGGAGGGAGUAUAUU